GAUAUGGAUUUGAUGAAAUAAUGGGCAUCAAACUUAUGGCUUGUCCUGAUUUAUUGAACUGAACUAAACUCAACUAAAUUGUUUACGAGAGAACAAAUUUGGGAAUUAAACUGAACUGAAUUGAUUGAAGUUGAACUGAAUUGGAAAUUAAGCUGAAGAGAACAUGACCUUAGUGAACACCACGUUUUUCUUAUUGAUAUUUGAUAUGGAAUUAUCAUUGUGGCAAUGAGAAUUAUUUUUGUUGUAUUUUUAUGUUAAGAGUACUUUUUUUUUAGAGGACGGGGAUUGACUAUGUGUUUAUAAUAUGUACUUCCUAUUUAACUACUUUGACCUUGCUGAGUUAAUAUUAUGUAAGUAGAACUGUGAAAUUAUUUGUGUUGCUUGAAAUAUGUGUAUUUAAUAGUGUAUUAAUAUUUUUGUCGAUCUGAUCCCACCCUCAUCACCGAUCGAAUGUGACUCUAUCCUAAUUGAGUACAAAUGAGAUAAUGAAGGGAGUAGUUUAGUUGGUGAAAAUUUUAUAUCAUAGCCAAAUUACAUAUUUCAUAUUCUUUCAGAAUAAUUAACACACUCUUCAACACAUCAUUUUGAAUUUUUUGCCCUACUAAAAUGGAAACAACAUUUACCUAGUCGAUUAUUACAAAACGGAGAAAGUACAUAUUCAUCUAUCAAGCGGAAUUUAUUGGCGGGAAACGCAAACGUUGGAAAAAAAUGACCAACAAUAAGCAAAGCCAUGACAAGGUGACUUGAAGAGAGAGAAAGAUGGCAGAUCAAUGGAGCUUUCGUCGUUUGACGAAUUCUUCGUGCUUCUUCAAUCUCAGGGAUGUAGCAGGAUGAUUGUGUCACACUGUCAGGGACUUCUGUGUACAUGAAGGAAUAUAAAGCUGAUAAUCUACUGAACUGUUAUGGUAAGCUGUCUGACUUGUACCUAAUAAAAUCCUGAAGUUACUUUUGGUGCUUUGCAGUUUGCAUUGUUAAAAUCUUAGAGCAGAAAUAAUUUCUACUAUUUUUGGUUUCUCCACUGAAGAUUCAUUAGUCAGAUGUUGGUAUACUUUUAUUUGUACUAUUGUUUACUUGCUUGCUUGCCAUGCUUGGUUCUUGAGGUGUUCCUAAUUUUUCGUCUAUAUCUUGCUGGGACAUUGUGCUAUGGGGUUCAGAUCUAUAGGUUAGAUAUUUUAAGUUUAGCGGUGCUGGUGGUAAAUGGUAAUAAAAAGCAGAUAAUUUGAUCUACUAGUGAUGAUAUAACGAACUUUCUGUUCCUGAAUAAAAUAAAUGAUCAAUAAAUUAUCAACUUAAAAAGUUGGAUGCCGUGCCUUGCAGGAUAUCAGAUAAACCAAUUUUAUGUCAGUAUAUUUUAACUUAACCUUGCCUAUGCUAUUAAGAGUAAGUUAACAUUCCAUAUUUCAGACUAAUUGAAGUUAUCUGCUGAGAAUUGCCACAAACUGUAUUUACUUCACGUAUGUACAGACUUUCUGCUGAUUUUGCAUAGGUGGUAGAGCCGAGUGACUUUUACUAUUGUUGAAUGAUCAUAAAUUUAAUUGGAUAUUGUUUUUUUAGUUGCUUUGGUCUCUGUGUAUGCGUAUGCGUGGAAUAUCCAGUAUCACUCAAUUAUGAUGUAAUGUAUAGUUAAAUCUGAUGAGAUGUUUAGAAGUAUAUGCUCAAUUAUUGAUUGUGACUUGUGAGAGUUAACUGUUUUUUAAAACAUCUAUAACAAAAAAAACUCCCUCAGUUGGGAAAUAUUGAAAUGCAAGUAAACAUAAGCAUAAAUGUCUAUGCAUCAACAGAUGCAUGAAGUCAAAUUUGAGGAAGUUCUUUUCUCCUUAACCAAGGUGUAUCUAUGAUAUUUUAUAUGCAUUAAGAUUAUAAUUAAAUGUGUGGUCUGUGAUAUAUAAUUUUGUACAUUGCUUGGAACAAGACAAUGCCAUGCACAUGCCCUGCAGAUAUUCCACUUGUUUAGUAAUAAAUACUACUAAAGUCUCAUUUUCCCAUAUGUUCUAUCGAUAUUGAGAAGCUCCUACCAUUUUCAUGGGAUUGUCGAUGAGGGAAACAUUUGUUUAAGCAUCAUCAACCUGAUUGUGGAUUAGUAAUUACGACUGAUGCCCACAUUCAAAUCUAAACUACCACCAUUGCUGUCAUUUGCUUGUAUGUGUUAAUUAAAUGACCUAUCGUUUUCUCUAAGUUGCUGUGUCUUGAAAUCUGUGGAUAUCUGUACUUCAACCAAUGACGUGGCUGCUCUACUAAGCACGAGCAGCUCACGUGCUAGUCGACAUUAUGCUUGAAAGUAGAGAACCACAAUUCUUGACCAGUAAUCAAGACGCCAAAAUGGUUGCUUCACCUUAUGCUAAUAGUAUUUGAUAUAGCUUCAUGCACAUGGCCAUUGUUGCUGAAUACAGAUCUUUUUUAACCCGGAAUUUUGCAGAAAUCUAUAGGUUAGUCAUAGAGAACUGCUUUAAUUUCUCCCAGUUUGAUCAAAUAAUGAUUGCAACACUUACUCCCAGUUGAAUUAAUCUCCUGAUUGUCCUUAUGUAUUCAUUCUAGUUGUGCACUGAAUUUAUAACCUUCCUGUUUCUCGUAUCUUGUAGAGAGUUCUUUACAUCUUGUAUACUGUAUUAAAUAUGAUUAUACCUCUUAUCUUCAGUUUUUAUUUUCAUAUACAGCUACGUUUAUCUUUUCUAAUCCUUUUUGUUUCGAACUUUUCCAGCUUGAAUUCGACAUUUAAUUUGAUUCUGAUUUUUUUUUUAUUGAUGUAUUCGACCUGUUCUUUUGGUGGUGGCUUCCAACAAACCUGGCUAACGUAUACGGAGUACUUACAAGGCAAUACAUGGUGCUAUACAUGUAUGUCUCUUGAAACUAAGCAACAACUAGAAGUUAUGUUAUGUUAUGUUAUAUUUUAGGAGAGAACCAAGAAUGUGGUGUCUUUUGCAUAGUGAUUAAUGUACGGGAAAUAUUGUAACAUAUAAUUACAGGAUUUCGAAAUUAUCAAGUUUUAAUCAGUACCUUGUAGCAUGAAUAAAGUAUGAGCCUCGUUAUCUUA